rnacentral:rRNA from 1 species
UAUGGCGACUGCGGCGGCGCAAUUCACUAGUGAUUGCUCAGAUUGAACGCUGGCGGCAUGCGUUACACAUGCAAGUCGAACGGCAGCACGGGAGCAAUCCUGGUGGCGAGUGGCGUACGGGUGAGUAAUAUAUCGGAACGUGCCCAGUAGUGCGGGAUAGCCCGGCGAAAGCCGGAUUAAUACCGCAUACGACCUACGGGCGAAAGCGGGUUAUCGCAAGACCUCGGCGCUAUUGGAGCGGCCGAUAUCACAUUAGCUGGUUGACGGNCCAAGAGCCCACCAGGGCUACGAUCUGUAGCUGGUCUCGAGAGGACGACCAGCCACACUGCGACUGAGACACGGCCCAGUCUCCUACG